rnacentral:piRNA from 1 species
UACUAUGCUCUAAUGUCACGCAUCCAGA